UGGGGAAUAUUGGACAAUGGGCGCAAGCCUGAUCCAGCAAUGCCGCGUGUGUGAAGAAGGCCUUCGGGUUGUAAAGCACUUUUAUCAGGAGCGAAACGCUGUCGGCUAAUACCCGGCGGAACUGACGGUACCUGAGGAAUAAGCACCGGCUAACUUCGUGCCAGCAGCCGCGGUGAUACGAAGGGUGCAAGCGUUAAUCGGAAUUACUGGGCGUAAAGCGUGCGUAGGCGGUUUCUUAAGUCUGCUGUGAAAUCCCCGGGCUCAACCUGGGAAUGGCAGUGGAUACUGGGAGGCUAGAGUGUGUCAGAGGGUGGUGGAAUUCCCGGUGUAGCGGUGAAAUGCGUAGAGAUCGGGAGGAACAUCAGUGGCGAAGGCGGCCACCUGGGACAACACUGACGCUGAGGCACGAAAGCGCGGGGAGCAAACAGGAUUAGGAUACCCUGGUAGUCCACGCCCUAAACGAUGCGAACUGGAUGUUGGUCUCAACUCGGAGAUCAGUGUCGAAGCUAACGCGUUAAGUUCGCCGCCUGGGGAGUACGGUCGCAAGACUGAAACUCAAAGGAAUUGACGGGGUCAUAGCUGUUUCCUG
rnacentral:rRNA from 1 species